CCUACGGGUGGCAGCAGUGGGGAAUAUUGCGCAAUGGGCGAAAGCCUGACGCAGCGACGCCGCGUGAGGGAUGAAGGUCUUCGGAUUGUAAACCUCUGUUAGCAGGGAAGAACGGUCACUGUGCUAAUCAGCAGUGAAUUGACGGUACCUGCAAAGGAAGCACCGGCAAACUCCGUGCCAGCCGCCGCGGUAAUACGGAGGGUGCGAGCGUUAAUCGGAAUUACUGGGCGUAAAGCGCUCGUAGGCGGUAUGUCAAGUCAAGGGUGAAAUCCCCGCGCUCAACGUGGGAACUGCCUUUGAAACGGGCAAACUGGAGUGUGUGAGAGGAUAGUGGAAUUCCAGGUGUAGGAGUGAAAUCCGUAGAUAUCUGGAGGAACAUCAGUGGCGAAGGCGACUAUCUGGCACAUAACUGACGCUGAGGAGCGAAAGCGUGGGUAGCAAACAGGAUUAGAUACCCUUGUAGUC
rnacentral:rRNA from 1 species